rnacentral:lncRNA from 1 species
UCCUAUCAAAUGAUAAAAAUCAUCACUCCAACUUCUCCAUUAAAAACAAGAAAAAAGAAGAAAAAGUACUUGGAAGAGGCAACGUAACUCUUUCCAGAAGUUUUUGUAAAUCAUUAGCUGGCCAUUCUGAAAUAUCUGCACAUUCAAGCCAGCCAUAGGAUCACUAUUUCAACAACCCAACAAUUUGCUACAUUGGAUGCCAAUUCGUUCGCAAGACGAUGCCUCAUCCCCAAGUGACGCUUCUCUAUGUUAAGGGAAGUUAAAAAUAAAUAUGCUCUCCCGAUGAAGUAGCCGAGACUCAUUGUUAACAAUUCCCUAAAAAUAAACAUUCAAAUGUGUCAAACUCAAAGUGAAAAAGAUAGGGGAGAAAAGUCAAGUCCAAAAAGAUUAUUCAAGCUAACCGAGGAAAUUGUUGAACCAAGCUGAAUAUUUAUAACAGUUUGGCCAGCUUGUCGUUCCCUUGGGAACAUAAGCAUUUCCAAAUAUGCAACUUUAGAAAAGUGUUCGUGGGAUUUCUCUUCUGGAUUGAAAAAAUACAGAAUCUCAGCGAUACUGAAAUCAUAGACGUCCAUAUGAGUACAUUCGGUAGAAAUCUACACAUAUGAAAAGCAUUAGAACCAAUCUUAGAUUAAAAAGACAAUGAAGUCUUACAUUAAGAAAAUGAUGCACAACCUUUUCUCUGGAAGCCUCACCAAUGUGAAAAACUGUAAAUGGUGAUUUAAAAAGAAAGAGUGUUGGCUCGUGACCAAAUUGACCAUAACUUUUCCUUCGAACAUCCGAUUGACUCGAUUUUUGCAUCUACGUAAAGCUCGAGACCCAAAGAGUGUUUGAUCUUCAGGUCACAUAUACCACCUACAAAGAUUUAGGGAAACAAACUUCUAAAAAUCUCAAAGAAACACUUUCGAGAAAGGAAAUUAAUAGUGGUACUUACUCAGGGAGAUUACGAGAUGGCCACAGGCUCCUUUGUGGUUGAAAAAAAUUCCUCAGUUGGAGCAUUUUCUGGAGUAGUGAUGCCAAAUUUUGCUAUCAUGGCAACCAUCGCCUCAUCAGAUAAUGAGCUAACUAACUCAUCGAAUUCCUCAGUUGGAGUAUCUUUAUUCCUCAUAAUCUUAGUUCUAUAUUUGCGGAGCAAGUGCCUAGCUAUAUACCAAGACUUUGUUUUCUUAUCACUUAUCACCAUUACAAAUCCACUGGAUACAUUCCCAUAUACCCCACAAAAAUCCUCCGAGUUCAGCAGAUUCUCCUUGUAAUCCAAGAACGGCUAGCAAAAUUAAUUAGUCUGAAAAAUUAGCGUCACUUCUAUGGGUUCGGCAAAUUCUUCAUCAAGGAUCAAAGUGACGACAAUUUUCUCCUAUCAAAUGAUAAAAAUCAUCACUCCAACUUCUCCAUUAAAAAAGAAAGAAAAAAGAAGAAAAAGUACUUGGAAGAGGCAACGUAACUCUUUCCAGAAGUUUUUGUAAAUCAUUAGCUGGCCAUUCUGAAAUAUCUGCACAUUCAAGCCAGCCAUAGGAUCACUAUUUCAACAACCCAACAAUUUGCUACAUUGGAUGCCAAUUCGUUCGCAAGACGAUGCCUCAUCCCCAAGUGACGCUUCUCUAUGUUAAGGGAAGUUAAAAAUAAAUAUGCUCUCCCGAUGAAGUAGCCGAGACUCAUUGUUAACAUUUCCCUAAAAAUAAACAUUCAAAUGUGUCAAACUCAAAGUGAAAAAGAUAGGGGAGAAAAGUCAAGUCCAAAAAGAUUAUUCAAGCUAACCGAGGAAAUUGUUGAACCAAGCUGAAUAUUUAUAACAGUUUGGCCAGCUUGUGGUUCCCUUGGGAACAUAAGCAUUUCCAAAUAUGCAACUUUAGAAAAGUGUUCGUGGGAUUUCUCUUCUGGAUUGAAAAAAUACAGAAUCUCAGCGAUACUGAACUCAUACACGUCCAUAUGAGUACAUUCGGUAGAAAUCUACACAUAUGAAAAGCAUUAGAACCAAUCUUAGAUUAAAAAGACAAUGAACUCUUACAUGAAGAAAAUGAUGCACAACCUUUUCUCUGGAAGCCUCACCAAUGUGAAAAACUGUAAAUGGUGAUUUAAAAAGAAAGAGUGUUGGCUCGUGACCAAAUUGACCAUAACUUUUCCUUCGAACAUCCGAUUGACUCGAUUUUUGCAUCUACGUAAAGCUCGAGACCCAAAGAGUGUUUGAUCUUCAGGUCACAUAUACCACCUACAAAGAUUCAGGGAAACAAACUUCUAAAAAUCUCAAAGAAACACUUUUGAGAAAGGAAAUUAAUAGUGGUACUUACUCAGGGAGAUUACGAGAUGGCCACAGGCUCCUUUGUGGUUGAAAAAAAUUCCUCAGUUGGAGCAUUUUCUGGAGAUGCCAAAUUUUGCUAUCAUGGCAACCAUCGCCUCAUCAGAUAAUGAGCUAACUAACUGAUCGAAUUCCUCAGUUGGAGCAUCUUUAUUCCUCAUAAUCUUAGUUCUAUAUUUGUGGAGCAAGUGCCUAGCUAUAUACCAAGACUUUGUUUUCUUAUCACUUAUCAUCAUUACAAAUCCACUGGAUACAUUCCCAUAUACCCCACAAAAAUCCUCCGAGUUCAGCAGAUUCUCCUUGUAAUCCAAGAACGGCUAGCAAAAUUAAUUAGUCUGAAAAAUUAGCGUCACUUCUAUGGGUUCAGCAAAUUCUUCAUCAAGGAUCAAAGUGACAACAAUUUUCUCCUAUCAAAUGAUAAAAAUCAUCACUCCAACUUCUCCAUUAAAAAAAAAGAAAAAAGAAGAAAAAGUACUUGGAAGAGGCAACGUAACUCUUUCCAGAAGUUUUUGUAAAUCAUUAGCUGGCCAUUCUGAAAUAUCUGCACAUUCAAGCCAGCCAUAGGAUCACUAUUUCAACAACCCAACAAUUUGCUACAUUGGAUGCCAAUUCGUUCGCAAGACGAUGCCUCAUCCCCAAGUGACGCUUCUCUAUGUUAAGGGAAGUUAAAAAUAAAUAUGCUCUCCCGAUGAAGUAGCCGAGACUCAUUGUUAACAAUUCCCUAAAAAUAAACAUUCAAAUGUGUCAAACUCAAAGUGAAAAAGAUAGGGGAGAAAAGUCAAGUCCAAAAAGAUUAUUCAAGCUAACCGAGGAAAUUGUUGAACCAAGCUGAAUAUUUAUAACAGUUUGGCCAGCUUGUGGUUCCCUUGGGAACAUAAGCAUUUCCAAAUAUGCAACUUUAGAAAAGUGUUCGUGGGAUUUCUCUUCUGGAUUGAAAAAAUACAGAAUCUCAGCGAUACUGAACUCAUAGACGUCCAUAUGAGUACAUUCGGUAGAAAUCUACACAUAUGAAAAGCAUUAGAACCAAUCUUAGAUUAAAAAGACAAUGAAGUCUUACAUUAAGAAAAUGAUGCACAACCUUUUCUCUGGAAGCCUCACCAAUGUGAAAAACUGUAAAUGGUGAUUUAAAAAGAAAGAGUGUUGGCUCGUGACCAAAUUGACCAUAACUUUUCCUUCGAACAUCCGAUUGACUCGAUUUUUGCAUCUACGUAAAGCUCGAGACCCAAAGAGUGUUUGAUCUUCAGGUCACAUAUACCACCUACAAAGAUUCAGGGAAACAAACUUCUAAAAAUCUCAAAGAAACACUUUUGAGAAAGGAAAUUAAUAGUGGUACUUACUCAGGGAGAUUACGAGAUGGCCACAGGCUCCUUUGUGGUUGAAAAAAAUUCCUCAGUUGGAGCAUUUUCUGGAGUAGUGAUGCCAAAUUUUGCUAUCAUGGCAGCCAUCGCCUCAUCAGAUAAUGAGCUAACUAACUCAUCGAAUUCCUCAGUUGGAGCAUCUUUAUUCCUCAUAAUCUUAGUUCUAUAUUUAUGGAGCAAGUGCCUAGCUAUAUACCAAGACUUUGUUUUCUUAUCACUUAUCAUCAUUACAAAUCCACCAGAUACAUUCCCAUAUACCCCACAAAAAUCCUUCGGGUUCAGCAGAUUCUCCUUGUACUCCAAGAACAGCAAGGAAAAUUAAUUAGUCUGAAAAAUUAGCGCCACUUCUCUGAGUUCACCAAAUUCUUCAUCAGGGAUCAAAGUGACGUUAAUUUUCUCCUUUCAAAUGAUAAAAAUCAUCACUCCAACUUCUCCAUUAAAAAAAAGAAAAAAGAAAAAAAAAAGUACUUGAAAGAGGCAACGUAACUCUUUCAAGAAGUUUUUGUAAAUCAUUAGCUGGCCAUUCUGAAAUAUCUGCACAUUCAAGCCAGCCAUAGGAUCACUAUUUCAACAACCCAACAAUUUGCUACAUUGGAUGCCAAUUCGUUCGCAAGACGAUGCCUCAUCCCCAAGUGACGCUUCUCUAUGUUAAGGGAAGUUAAAAAUAAAUAUGCUCUCCCGAUGAAGUAGCCGAGACUCAUUGUUAACAAUUCCCUAAAAAUAAACAUUCAAAUGUGUCAAACUCAAAGUGAAAAAAAUAGGGGAGAAAAGUCUAGUCCAAAAAGAUUAUUCAAGCUAACCGAGGAAAUUGUUGAACCAAGCUGAAUAUUUAUAACAGUUUGGCCAGCUUGUGGUUCCCUUGGGAACAUAAGCAUUUCCAAAUAUGCAACUUUAGAAAAGUGUUCGUGGGAUUUCUCUUCUGGAUUGAAAAAAUACAGAAUCUCCGCGAUACUGAACUCAUAGACGUCCAUAUGAGUACAUUCGGUAGAAAUCUACACAUAUGAAAAGCAUUAGAACCAAUCUUAGAUUAAAAAGACAAUGAACUCUUACAUGAAGAAAAUGAUGCACAACCUUUUCUCUGGAAGCCUCACCAAUGUGAAAAACUGUAAAUGGUGAUUUAAAAAAAAAGAGUGUUGGCUCGUGACCAAAUUGACCAUAACUUUUCCUUCGAACAUCCGAUUGACUCGAUUUUUGCAUCUACGUAAAGCUCGAGACCCAAAGAGUGUUUGAUCUUCAGGUCACAUAUACCACCUACAAAGAUUCAGGGAAACAAACUUCUAAAAAUCUCAAAGAAACACUUUUGAGAAAGGAAAUUAAUAGUGGUACUUACUCAGGGAGAUUACGAGAUGGCCACAGGCUCCUUUGUGGUUGAAAAAAAUUCCUCAGUUGGAGCAUUUUCUGGAGUAGAUGCCAAAUUUUGCUAUCAUGGCAACCAUCGCCUCAUCAGAUAAUGAGCUAACUAACUGAUCGAAUUCCACAGUUGGAGCAUCUUUAUUCCUCAUAAUCUUAGUUCUAUAUUUGUGGAGCAAGUGCCUAGCUAUAUACCAAGACUUUGUUUUCUUAUCACUUAUCAUCAUUACAAAUCCACUGGAUACAUUCCCAUAUACCCCACAAAAAUCCUCCGAGUUCAGCAGAUUCUCCUUGUAAUCCAAGAACGGCUAGCAAAAUUAAUUAGUCUGAAAAAUUAGCGUCACUUCUAUGGGUUCAGCAAAUUCUUCAUCAAGGAUCAAAGUGACGACAAUUUUCUCCUAUCAAAUGAUAAAAAUCAUCACUCCAACUUCUCCAUUAAAAAAGAAAGAAAAAAGAAGAAAAAGUACUUGGAAGAGGCAACGUAACUCUUUCCAGAAGUUUUUGUAAAUCAUUAGCUGGCCAUUCUGAAAUAUCUGCACAUUCAAGCCAGCCAUAGGAUCACUAUUUCAACAACCCAACAAUUUGCUACAUUGGAUGCCAAUUCGUUCGCAAGACGAUGCCUCAUCCCCAAGUGACGCUUCUCUAUGUUAAGGGAAGUUAAAAAUAAAUAUGCUCUCCCGAUGAAGUAGCCGAGACUCAUUGUUAACAAUUCCCUAAAAAUAAACAUUCAAAUGUGUCAAACUCAAAGUGAAAAAGAUAGGGGAGAAAAGUCUAGUCCAAAAAGAUUAUUCAAGCUAACCGAGGAAAUUGUUGAACCAAGCUGAAUAUUUAUAACAGUUUGGCCAGCUUGUGGUUCCCUUGGGAACAUAAGCAUUUCCAAAUAUGCAACUUUAGAAAAGUGUUCGUGGGAUUUCUCUUCUGGAUUGAAAAAAUACAGAAUCUCAGCGAUACUGAACUCAUAGACGUCCAUAUGAGUACAUUCGGUAGAAAUCUACACAUAUGAAAAGCAUUAGAACCAAUCUUAGAUUAAAAAGACAAUGAACUCUUACAUGAAGAAAAUGAUGCACAACCUUUUCUCUGGAAGCCUCACCAAUGUGAAAAACUGUAAAUGGUGAUUUAAAAAUAAAGAGUGUUGGCUCGUGACCAAAUUGACCAUAACUUUUCCUUCGAACAUCCGAUUGACUCGAUUUUUGCAUCUACGUAAAGCUCGAGACCCAAAGAGUGUUUGAUCUUCAGGUCACAUAUACCACCUACAAAGAUUCAGGGAAACAAACUUCUAAAAAUCUCAAAGAAACACUUUUGAGAAAGGAAAUUAAUAGUGGUACUUACUCAGGGAGAUUACGAGAUGGCCACAGGCUCCUUUGUGGUUGAAAAAAAUUCCUCAGUUGGAGCAUUUUCUGGAGAUGCCAAAUUUUGCUAUCAUGGCAACCAUCGCCUCAUCAGAUAAUGAGCUAACUAACUGAUCGAAUUCCUCAGUUGGAGCAUCUUUAUUCCUCAUAAUCUUAGUUCUAUAUUUGUGGAGCAAGUGCCUAGCUAUAUACCAAGACUUUGUUUUCUUAUCACUUAUCACCAUUACAAAUCCACUGGAUACAUUCCCAUAUACCCCACAAAAAUCCUCCGAGUUCAGCAGAUUCUCCUUGUAAUCCAAGAACGGCUAGCAAAAUUAAUUAGUCUGAAAAAUUAGCGUCACUUCUAUGGGUUCGGCAAAUUCUUCAUCAAGGAUCAAAGUUACGACAAUUUUCUCCUAUCAAAUGAUAAAAAUCAUCACUCCAACUUCUCCAUUAAAAAAGAAAGAAAAAAUAAGAAAAAGUACUUGGAAGAGGCAACGUAACUCUUUCCAGAAGUUUUUGUAAAUCAUUAGCUGGCCAUUCUGAAAUAUCUGCACAUUCAAGCCAGCCAUAGGAUCACUAUUUCAACAACCCAACAAUUUGCUACAUUGGAUGCCAAUUCGUUCGCAAGACGAUGCCUCAUCCCCAAGUGACGCUUCUCUAUGUUAAGGGAAGUUAAAAAUAAAUAUGCUCUCCCGAUGAAGUAGCCGAGACUCAUUGUUAACAUUUCCCUAAAAAUAAACAUUCAAAUGUGUCAAACUCAAAGUGAAAAAGAUAGGGGAGAAAAGUCAAGUCCAAAAAGAUUAUUCAAGCUAACCGAGGAAAUUGUUGAACCAAGCUGAAUAUUUAUAACAGUUUGGCCAGCUUGUGGUUCCCUUGGGAACAUAAGCAUUUCCAAAUAUGCAACUUUAGAAAAGUGUUCGUGGGAUUUCUCUUCUGGAUUGAAAAAAUACAGAAUCUCAGCGAUACUGAACUCAUACACGUCCAUAUGAGUACAUUCGGUAGAAAUCUACACAUAUGAAAAGCAUUAGAACCAAUCUUAGAUUAAAAAGACAAUGAACUCUUACAUGAAGAAAAUGAUGCACAAUCUUUUCUCUGGAAGCCUCACCAAUGUGAAAAACUGUAAAUGGUGAUUUAAAAAAACAGAGUGUUGGCUCGUGACCAAAUUGACCAUAACUUUUCCUUCGAACAUCCGAUUGACUCGAUUUUUGCAUCUACGUAAAGCUCGAGACCCAAAGAGUGUUUGAUCUUCAGGUCACAUAUACCACCUACAAAGAUUCAGGGAAACAAACUUCUACAAAUCUCAAAGAAACACUUUUGAGAAAGGAAAUUAAUAGUGGUACUUACUCAGGGAGAUUACGAGAUGGCCACAGGCUCCUUUGUGGUUGAAAAAAAUUCCUCAGUUGGAGCAUUUUCUGGAGAUGCCAAAUUUUGCUAUCAUGGCAACCAUCGCCUCAUCAGAUAAUGAGCUAACUAACUGAUCGAAUUCCUCAGUUGGAGCAUCUUUAUUCCUCAUAAUCUUAGUUCUAUAUUUGUGGAGCAAGUGCCUAGCUAUAUACCAAGACUUUGUUUUCUUAUCACUUAUCAUCAUUACAAAUCCACUGGAUACAUUCCCAUAUACCCCACAAAAAUCCUCCGAGUUCAGCAGAUUCUCCUUGUAAUCCAAGAACGGCUAGCAAAAUUAAUUAGUCUGAAAAAUUAGCGUCACUUCUAUGGGUUCAGCAAAUUCUUCAUCAAGGAUCAAAGUGACGACAAUUUUCUCCUAUCAAAUGAUAAAAAUCAUCACUCCAACUUCUCCAUUAAAAAAAAAGAAAAAAGAAGAAAAAGUACUUGGAAGAGGCAACGUAACUCUUUCCAGAAGUUUUUGUAAAUCAUUAGCUGGCCAUUCUGAAAUAUCUGCACAUUCAAGCCAGCCAUAGGAUCACUAUUUCAACAACCCAACAAUUUGCUACAUUGGAUGCCAAUUCGUUCGCAAGACGAUGCCUCAUCCCCAAGUGACGCUUCUCUAUGUUAAGGGAAGUUAAAAAUAAAUAUGCUCUCCCGAUGAAGUAGCCGAGACUCAUUGUUAACAAUUCCCUAAAAAUAAACAUUCAAAUGUGUCAAACUCAACGUGAAAAAGAUAGGGGAGAAAAGUCAAGUCCGAAAAGAUUAUUCAAGCUAACCGAGGAAAUUGUUGAACCAAGCUGAAUAUUUAUAACAGUUUGGCCAGCUUGUGGUUCCCUUGGGAACAUAAGCAUUUCCAAAUAUGCAACUUUAGAAAAGUGUUCGUGGGAUUUCUCUUCUGGAUUGAAAAAAUACAGAAUCUCAGCGAUACUGAACUCAUAGACGUCCAUAUGAGUACAUUCGGUAGAAAUCUACACAUAUGAAAAGCAUUAGAACCAAUCUUAGAUUAAAAAGACAAUGAAGUCUUACAUUAAGAAAAUGAGGCACAACCUUUUCUCUGGAAGCCUCACCAAUGUGAAAAACUGUAAAUGGUGAUUUAAAAAUAAAGAGUGUUGGCUCGUGACCAAAUUGACCAUAACUUUUCCUUCGAACAUCCGAUUGACUCGAUUUUUGCAUCUACGUAAAGCUCGAGACCCAAAGAGUGUUUGAUCUUCAGGUCACAUAUACCACCUACAAAGAUUCAGGGAAACAAACUUCUAAAAAUCUCAAAGAAACACUUUUGAGAAAGGAAAUUAAUAGUGGUACUUACUCAGGGAGAUUACGAGAUGGCCACAGGCUCCUUUGUGGUUGAAAAAAAUUCCUCAGUUGGAGCAUUUUCUGGAGUAGUGAUGCCAAAUUUUGCUAUCAUGGCAACCAUCGCCUCAUCAGAUAAUGAGCUAACUGACUGAUCGAAUUCCUCAGUUGGAGCAUCUUUAUUCCUCAUAAUCUUAGUUCUAUAUUUGUGGAGCAAGUGCCUAGCUAUAUACCAAGACUUUGUUUUCUUAUCACUUAUCACCAUUACAAAUCCACUGGAUACAUUCCCAUAUACCCCACAAAAAUCCUCCGAGUUCAGCAGAUUCUCCUUGCAAUCCAAGAACGGCUAGCAAAAUUAAUUAGUCUGAAAAAUUAGCGUCACUUCUAUGGGUUCAGCAAAUUCUUCAUCAACGAUCAAAGUGACGACAAUUUUCUCCUAUCAAAUGAUAAAAAUCAUCACUCCAACUUCUCCAUUAAAAAAAAAGAAAAAAUAAGAAAAAGUACUUGGAAGAGGCAACGUAACUCUUUCCAGAAGUUUUUGUAAAUCAUUAGCUGGCCAUUCUGAAAUAUCUGCACAUUCAAGCCAGCCAUAGGAUCACUAUUUCAACAACCCAACAAUUUGCUACAUUGGAUGCCAAUUCGUUCGCAAGACGAUGCCUCAUCCCCAAGUGACGCUUCUCUAUGUUAAGGGAAGUUAAAAAUAAAUAUGCUCUCCCGAUGAAGUAGCCGAGACUCAUUGUUAACAAUUCCCUAAAAAUAAACAUUCAAAUGUGUCAAACUCAAAGUGAAAAAGAUAGGGGAGAAAAGUCAAGUCCAAAAAGAUUAUUCAAGCUAACCGAGGAAAUUGUUGAACCAAGCUGAAUAUUUAUAACAGUUUGGCCAGGUUGUGGUUCCCUUGGGAACAUAAGCAUUUCCAAAUAUGCAACUUUAGAAAAGUGUUCGUGGGAUUUCUCUUCUGGAUUGAAAAAAUACAGAAUCUCAGCGAUACUGAACUCAUAGACGUCCAUAUGAGUACAUUCGGUAGAAAUCUACACAUAUGAAAAGCAUUAGAACCAAUCUUAGAUUAAAAAGACAAUGAAGUCUUACAUUAAGAAAAUGAUGCACAACCUUUUCUCUGGAAGCCUCACCAAUGUGAAAAACUGUAAAUGGUGAUUUAAAAAGAAAGAGUGUUGGCUCGUGACCAAAUUGACCAUAACUUUUCCUUCGAACAUCCGAUUGACUCGAUUUUUGCAUCUACGUAAAGCUCGAGACCCAAAGAGUGUUUGAUCUUCAGGUCACGUAUACCACCUACAAAGAUUCAGGGAAACAAACUUCUAAAAAUCUCAAAGAAACACUUUUGAGAAAGGAAAUUAAUAGUGGUACUUACUCAGGGAGAUUACGAGAUGGCCACAGGCUCCUUUGUGGUUGAAAAAAAUUCCUCAGUUGGAGCAUUUUCUGGAGUAGUGAUGCCAAAUUUUGCUAUCAUGGCAACCAUCGCCUCAUCAGAUAAUGAGCUAACUAACUCAUCGAAUUCCUCAGUUGGAGCAUCUUUAUUCCUCAUAAUCUUAGUUCUAUAUUUGCGGAGCAAGUGCAUAGCUAUAUACCAAGACUUUGUUUUCUUAUCACUUAUCAUCAUUACAAAUCCACUGGAUACAUUCCCAUAUACCCCACAAAAAUCCUCCGAGUUCAGCAGAUUCUCCUUGUAAUCCAAGAGCGGCUAGCAAAAUUAAUUAGUCUGAAAAAUUAGCGUCACUUCUAUGGGUUCAGCAAAUUCUUCAUCAAGGAUCAAAGUGACGACAAUUUUCUCCUAUCAAAUGAUAAAAAUCAUCACUCCAACUUCUCCAUUAAAAAAAAAGAAAAAAUAAGAAAAAGUACUUGGAAGAGGCAACGUAACUCUUUCCAGAAGUUUUUGUAAAUCAUUAGCUGGCCAUUCUGAAAUAUCUGCACAUUCAAGCCAGCCAUAGGAUCACUAUUUCAACAACCCAACAAUUUGCUACAUUGGAUGCCAAUUCGUUCGCAAGACGAUGCCUCAUCCCCAAGUGACGCUUCUCUAUGUUAAGGGAAGUUAAAAAUAAAUAUGCUCUCUCGAUGAAGUAGCCGAGACUCAUUGUUAACAUUUCCCUAAAAAUAAACAUUCAAAUGUGUCAAACUCAAAGUGAAAAAGAUAGGGGAGAAAAGUCAAGUCCAAAAAGAUUAUUCAAGCUAACCGAGGUAAUUGUUGAACCAAGCUGAAUAUUUAUAACAGUUUGGCCAGCUUGUGGUUCCCUUGGGAACAUAAGCAUUUCCAAAUAUGCAACUUUAGAAAAGUGUUCGUGGGAUUUCUCUUCUGGAUUGAAAAAAUACAGAAUCUCAGCGAUACUGAACUCAUAGACGUCCAUAUGAGUACAUUCGGUAGAAAUCUACACAUAUGAAAAGCAUUAGAACCAAUCUUAGAUUAAAAAGACAAUGAAGUCUUACAUUAAGAAAAUGAUGCACAACUUUUCUCUAGAAGCCUCACCAAUGUGAAAAACUGUAAAUGGUGAUUUAAAAAAAAAGAGUGUUGGCUCGUGACCAAAUUGACCAUAACUUUUCCUUCGAACAUCCGAUUGACUCGAUUUUUGCAUCUACGUAAAGCUCGAGACCCAAAGAGUGUUUGAUCUUCAGGUCACAUAUACCACCUACAAAGAUUCAGGGAAACAAACUUCUAAAAAUCUCAAAGAAACACUUUUGAGAAAGGAAAUUAAUAGUGGUACUUACUCAGGGAGAUUACGAGAUGGCCACAGGCUCCUUUGUGGUUGAAAAAAAUUCCUCAGUUGGAGCAUUUUCUGGAGAUGCCAAAUUUUGCUAUCAUGGCAACCAUCGCCUCAUCAGAUAAUGAGCUAACUAACUGAUCGAAUUCCUCAGUUGGAGCAUCUUUAUUCCUCAUAAUCUUAGUUCUAUAUUUGUGGAGCAAGUGCCUAGCUAUAUACCAAGACUUUGUUUUCUUAUCACUUAUCACCAUUACAAAUCCACUGGAUACAUUCCCAUAUACCCCACAAAAAUCCUCCGAGUUCAGCAGAUUCUCCUUGUAAUCCAAGAACGGCUAGCAAAAUUAAUUAGUCUGAAAAAUUAGCGUCACUUCUAUGGGUUCGGCAAAUUCUUCAUCAAGGAUCAAAGUUACGACAAUUUUCUCCUAUCAAAUGAUAAAAAUCAUCACUCCAACUUCUCCAUUAAAAAAGAAAGAAAAAAGAAGAAAAAGUACUUGGAAGAGGCAACGUAACUCUUUCCAGAAGUUUUUGUAAAUCCUUAGCUGGCCAUUCUGAAAUAUCUGCACAUUCAAGCCAGCCAUAGGAUCACUAUUUCAACAACCCAACAAUUUGCUACAUUGGAUGCCAAUUCGUUCGCAAGACGAUGCCUCAUCCCCAAGUGACGCUUCUCUAUGUUAAGGGAAGUUAAAAAUAAAAAUGCUCUCCCGAUGAAGUAGCCGAGACUCAUUGUUAACAUUUCCCUAAAAAUAAACAUUCAAAUGUGUCAAACUCAAAGUGAAAAAGAUAGGGGAGAAAAGUCUAGUCCAAAAAGAUUAUUCAAGCUAACCGAGGAAAUUGUUGAACCAAGCUGAAUAUUUAUAACAGUUUGGCCAGCUUGUGGUUCCCUUGGGAACAUAAGCAUUUCCAAAUAUGCAACUUUAGAAAAGUGUUCGUGGGAUUUCUCUUCUGGAUUGAAAAAAUACAGAAUCUCAGCGAUACUGAACUCAUAGACGUCCAUAUGAGUACAUUCGGUAGAAAUCUACACAUAUGAAAAGCAUUAGAACCAAUCUUAGAUUAAAAAGACAAUGAAGUCUUACAUUAAGAAAAUGAGGCACAACCUUUUCUCUGGAAGCCUCACCAAUGUGAAAAACUGUAAAUGGUGAUUUAAAAAAAAAGAGUGUUGGCUCGUGACCAAAUUGACCAUAACUUUUCCUUCGAACAUCCGAUUGACUCGAUUUUUGCAUCUACGUAAAGCUCGAGACCCAAAGAGUGUUUGAUCUUCAGGUCACAUAUACCACCUACAAAGAUUCAGGGAAACAAACUUCUAAAAAUCUCAAAGAAACACUUUUGAGAAAGGAAAUUAAUAGUGGUACUUACUCAGGGAGAUUACGAGAUGGCCACAGGCUCCUUUGUGGUUGAAAAAAAUUCCUCAGUUGGAGCAUUUUCUGGAGAUGCCAAAUUUUGCUAUCAUGGCAACCAUCGCCUCAUCAGAUAAUGAGCUAACUAACUGAUCGAAUUCCUCAGUUGGAGCAUCUUUAUUCCUCAUAAUCUUAGUUCUAUAUUUGUGGAGCAAGUGCCUAGCUAUAUACCAAGACUUUGUUUUCUUAUCACUUAUCACCAUUACAAAUCCACUGGAUACAUUCCCAUAUACCCCACAAAAAUCCUCCGAGUUCAGCAGAUUCUCCUUGUAAUCCAAGAACGGCUAGCAAAAUUAAUUAGUCUGAAAAAUUAGCGUCACUUCUAUGGGUUCGGCAAAUUCUUCAUCAAGGAUCAAAGUUACGACAAUUUUCUCCUAUCAAAUGAUAAAAAUCAUCACUCCAACUUCUCCAUUAAAAAAGAAAGAAAAAAGAAGAAAAAGUACUUGGAAGAGGCAACGUAACUCUUUCCAGAAGUUUUUGUAAAUCAUUAGCUGGCCAUUCUGAAAUAUCUGCACAUUCAAGCCAGCCAUAGGAUCACUAUUUCAACAACCCAACAAUUUGCUACAUUGGAUGCCAAUUCGUUCGCAAGACGAUGCCUCAUCCCCAAGUGACGCUUCUCUAUGUUAAGGGAAGUUAAAAAUAAAAAUGCUCUCCCGAUGAAGUAGCCGAGACUCAUUGUUAACAUUUCCCUAAAAAUAAACAUUCAAAUGUGUCAAACUCAAAGUGAAAAAGAUAGGGGAGAAAAGUCAAGUCCGAAAAGAUUAUUCAAGCUAACCGAGGAAAUUGUUGAACCAAGCUGAAUAUUUAUAACAGUUUGGCCAGCUUGUGGUUCCCUUGGGAACAUAAGCAUUUCCAAAUAUGCAACUUUAGAAAAGUGUUCGUGGGAUUUCUCUUCUGGAUUGAAAAAAUACAGAAUCUCAGCGAUACUGAACUCAUACACGUCCAUAUGAGUACAUUCGGUAGAAAUCUACACAUAUGAAAAGCAUUAGAACCAAUCUUAGAUUAAAAAGACAAUGAACUCUUACAUGAAGAAAAUGAUGCACAAUCUUUUCUCUGGAAGCCUCACCAAUGUGAAAAACUGUAAAUGGUGAUUUAAAAAAACAGAGUGUUGGCUCGUGACCAAAUUGACCAUAACUUUUCCUUCGAACAUCCGAUUGACUCGAUUUUUGCAUCUACGUAAAGCUCGAGACCCAAAGAGUGUUUGAUCUUCAGGUCACAUAUACCACCUACAAAGAUUCAGGGAAACAAACUUCUAAAAAUCUCAAAGAAACACUUUUGAGAAAGGAAAUUAAUAGUGGUACUUACUCAGGGAGAUUACGAGAUGGCCACAGGCUCCUUUGUGGUUGAAAAAAAUUCCUCAGUUGGAGCAUUUUCUGGAGAUGCCAAAUUUUGCUAUCAUGGCAACCAUCGCCUCAUCAGAUAAUGAGCUAACUAACUGAUCGAAUUCCUCAGUUGGAGCAUCUUUAUUCCUCAUAAUCUUAGUUCUAUAUUUGUGGAGCAAGUGCCUAGCUAUAUACCAAGACUUUGUUUUCUUAUCACUUAUCACCAUUACAAAUCCACUGGAUACAUUCCCAUAUACCCCACAAAAAUCCUCCGAGUUCAGCAGAUUCUCCUUGUAAUCCAAGAACGGCUAGCAAAAUUAAUUAGUCUGAAAAUUAGCGUCACUUCUAUGGGUUCAGCAAAUUCUUCAUCAAGGAUCAAAGUGACGACAAUUUUCUCCUAUCAAAUGAUAAAAAUCAUCACUCCAACUUCUCCAUUAAAAAAAAAAGAAAAAAGAAGAAAAAGUACUUGGAAGAGGCAACGUAACUCUUUCCAGAAGUUUUUGUAAAUCAUUAGCUGGCCAUUCUGAAAUAUCUGCACAUUCAAGCCAGCCAUAGGAUCACUAUUUCAACAACCCAACAAUUUGCUACAUUGGAUGCCAAUUCGUUCGCAAGACGAUGCCUCAUCCCCAAGUGACGCUUCUCUAUGUUAAGGGAAGUUAAAAAUAAAUAUGCUCUCCCGAUGAAGUAGCCGAGACUCAUUGUUAACAAUUCCCUAAAAAUAAACAUUCAAAUGUGUCAAACUCAAAGUGAAAAAGAUAGGGGAGAAAAGUCAAGUCCAAAAAGAUUAUUCAAGCUAACCGAGGAAAUUGUUGAACCAAGCUGAAUAUUUAUAACAGUUUGGCCAGCUUGUGGUUCCCUUGGGAACAUAAGCAUUUCCAAAUAUGCAACUUUAGAAAAGUGUUCGUGGGAUUUCUCUUCUGGAUUGAAAAAAUACAGAAUCUCAGCGAUACUGAACUCAUAGACGUCCAUAUGAGUACAUUCGGUAGAAAUCUACACAUAUGAAAAGCAUUAGAACCAAUCUUAGAUUAAAAAGACAAUGAAGUCUUACAUUAAGAAAAUGAUGCACAACCUUUUCUCUGGAAGCCUCACCAAUGUGAAAAACUGUAAAUGGUGAUUUAAAAAGAAAGAGUGUUGGCUCGUGACCAAAUUGACCAUAACUUUUCCUUCGAACAUCCGAUUGACUCGAUUUUUGCAUCUACGUAAAGCUCGAGACCCAAAGAGUGUUUGAUCUUCAGGUCACAUAUACCACCUACAAAGAUUCAGGGAAACAAACUUCUAAAAAUCUCAAAGAAACACUUUUGAGAAAGGAAAUUAAUAGUGGUACUUACUCAGGGAGAUUACGAGAUGGCCACAGGCUCCUUUGUGGUUGAAAAAAAUUCCUCAGUUGGAGCAUUUUCUGGAGUAGUGAUGCCAAAUUUUGCUAUCAUGGCAACCAUCGCCUCAUCAGAUAAUGAGCUAACUGACUGAUCGAAUUCCUCAGUUGGAGCAUCUUUAUUCCUCAUAAUCUUAGUUCUAUAUUUGUGGAGCAAGUGCCUAGCUAUAUACCAAGACUUUGUUUUCUUAUCACUUAUCAUCAUUACAAAUCCACUGGAUACAUUCCCAUAUACCCCACAAAAAUCCUCCGAGUUCAGCAGAUUCUCCUUGUAAUCCAAGAACGGCUAGGAAAAUUAAUUAGUCUGAAAAAUUAGCGUCACUUCUAUGGGUUCAGCAAAUUCUUCAUCAAGGAUCAAAGUGACGACAAUUUUCUCCUAUCAAAUGAUAAAAAUCAUCACUCCAACUUCUCCAUUAAAAAAAAAGAAAAAAGAAGAAAAAGUACUUGGAAGAGGCAACGUAACUCUUUCCAGAAGUUUUUGUAAAUCAUUAGCUGGCCAUUCUGAAAUAUCUGCACAUUCAAGCCAGCCAUAGGAUCACUAUUUCAACAACCCAACAAUUUGCUACAUUGGAUGCCAAUUCGUUCGCAAGACGAUGCCUCAUCCCCAAGUGACGCUUCUCUAUGUUAAGGGAAGUUAAAAAUAAAUAUGCUCUCCCGAUGAAGUAGCCGAGACUCAUUGUUAACAUUUCCCUAAAAAUAAACAUUCAAAUGUGUCAAACUCAAAGUGAAAAAGAUAGGGGAGAAAAGUCAAGUCCAAAAAGAUUAUUCAAGCUAACCGAGGAAAUUGUUGAACCAAGCUGAAUAUUUAUAACAGUUUGGCCAGCUUGUGGUUCCCUUGGGAACAUAAGCAUUUCCAAAUAUGCAACUUUAGAAAAGUGUUCGUGGGAUUUCUCUUCUGGAUUGAAAAAAUACAGAAUCUCAGCGAUACUGAACUCAUACACGUCCAUAUGAGUACAUUCGGUAGAAAUCUACACAUAUGAAAAGCAUUAGAACCAAUCUUAGAUUAAAAAGACAAUGAACUCUUACAUGAAGAAAAUGAUGCACAAUCUUUUCUCUGGAAGCCUCACCAAUGUGAAAAACUGUAAAUGGUGAUUUAAAAAAACAGAGUGUUGGCUCGUGACCAAAUUGACCAUAACUUUUCCUUCGAACAUCCGAUUGACUCGAUUUUUGCAUCUACGUAAAGCUCGAGACCCAAAGAGUGUUUGAUCUUCAGGUCACAUAUACCACCUACAAAGAUUCAGGGAAACAAACUUCUAAAAAUCUCAAAGAAACACUUUUGAGAAAGGAAAUUAAUAGUGGAACUUACUCAGGGAGAUUACGAGAUGGCCACAGGCUCCUUUGUGGUUGAAAAAAAUUCCUCAGUUGGAGCAUUUUCUGGAGAUGCCAAAUUUUGCUAUCAUGGCAACCAUCGCCUCAUCAGAUAAUGAGCUAACUAACUGAUCGAAUUCCUCAGUUCGAGCAUCUUUAUUCCUCAUAAUCUUAGUUCCAUAUUUAUGGAGCAAGUGCCUAGCUAUAUACCAAGACUUUGUUUUCUUAUCACUUAUCAUCAUUACAAAUCCACUAGAUACAUUCCCAUAUACCCCACAAAAAUCCUCCGAGUUCAGCAGAUUCUUCUUGUAAUCCAAGAACGGCAAGCAAAAUUAAUUAGUCUGAAAAAUUAGCGCCACUUCUCUGAGUUCACCAGAUUCUUCAUCAGGGAUCAAAGUGACGAUAAUUUUCUCCUAUCAAAUGAUAAAAAUCAUCACUCCAACUUCUCCAUUAAAAAAAAGAAAAAAGAAAAAAAGGUACUUGGAAGAGGCAACGUAAGUCUUUCAAGAAGUUUUUGUAAAUCAUUAGCUGACCAUUCUGAAAUAUCUGCACAUUCAAGCCAGCCAUAGGAUCGCUAUUUCAACAACCCAACAAUUUGCUAGAUUGGAUGCCAAUUCGUUCGCAAGACGAUGCCUCAUCCCCAAGUGACGCUUCUCUAUGUUAAGGGAAGUUAAAAAUAAAUAUGCUCUCCCGAUGAAGUAGCCGAGACUCAUUGUUAACAAUUCCCUAAAAAUAAACAUUCAAAUGUGUCAAACUCAAAGUGAAAAAGAUAGGGGAGAAAAGUCAAGUCCAAAAAGAUUAUUCAAGCUAACCGAGGAAAUUGUUGAACCAAGCUGAAUAUUUAUAACAGUUUGGCCAGCUUGUGGUUCCCUUGGGAACAUAAGCAUUUCCAAAUAUGCAACUUUAGAAAAGUGUUCGUGGGAUUUCUCUUCUGGAUUGAAAAAAUACAGAAUCUCAGCGAUACUGAACUCAUAGACGUCCAUAUGAGUACAUUCGGUAGAAAUCUACACAUAUGAAAAGCAUUAGAACCAAUCUUAGAUUAAAAAGACAAUGAAGUCUUACAUUAAGAAAAUGAUGCACAACCUUUUCUCUGGAAGCCUCACCAAUGUGAAAAACUGUAAAUGGUGAUUUAAAAAGAAAGAGUGUUGGCUCGUGACCAAAUUGACCAUAACUUUUCCUUCGAACAUCCGAUUGACUCGAUUUUUGCAUCUACGUAAAGCUCGAGACCCAAAGAGUGUUUGAUCUUCAGGUCACAUAUACCACCUACAAAGAUUCAGGGAAACGAACUUCUAAAAAUCUCAAAGAAACACUUUUGAGAAAGGAAAUUAAUAGUGGUACUUACUCAGGGAGAUUACGAGAUGGCCACAGGCUCCUUUGUGGUUGAAAAAAAUUCCUCAGUUGGAGCAUUUUCUGGAGAUGCCAAAUUUUGCUAUCAUGGCAACCAUCGCCUCAUCAGAUAAUGAGCUAACUAACUGAUCGAAUUCCUCAGUUGGAGCAUCUUUAUUCCUCAUAAUCUUAGUUCUAUAUUUGUGGAGCAAGUGCCUAGCUAUAUACCAAGACUUUGUUUUCUUAUCACUUAUCAUCAUUACAAAUCCACUGGAUACAUUCCCAUAUACCCCACAAAAAUCCUCCGAGUUCAGCAGAUUCUCCUUGUAAUCCAAGAACGGCUAGGAAAAUUAAUUAGUCUGAAAAAUUAGCGUCACUUCUAUGGGUUCAGCAAAUUCUUCAUCAAGGAUCAAAGUGACGACAAUUUUCUCCUAUCAAAUGAUAAAAAUCAUCACUCCAACUUCUCCAUUAAAAAAAAAGAAAAAAUAAAAAAAAAAGUACUUGGUAUAGGCAACGUAAGUCUUUCAAGAAGUUUUUGUAAAUCAUUAGCUGGCCAUUCUGAAAUAUCUACACAUUCAAGCCAGCCAUAGGAUCACUAUUUCAACAACCCAACAAUUUGCUACAUUGGAUGCCAAUUCGUUCGCAAGACGAUGCCUCAUCCGCAAGUGAUGCUUUUCUAUGUUAAAGGGAAGUUAAAAAUAAAUAUGCUCUCCUGAUGAAGUAGCCGAGACUCUCAUUGCUAACAAUUCCCUAAAAAUAAACAUUGAAAUGUGUGAAACUCAAAGUGAAAAAGAUAGGGGAGAAAAGUCAAGUCCAAAAGAUUAUUCAAGCUAACCGAGAAAAUUGUUGCACCAAGCUGAAUAUUUAUAGCAGUUUGGCCAACUUGUCGUUCCAUUGGGAACAUAAGCAUUUCCAAAUAUGCAACUUUAGAAAAGUGUUCGUGGGAUUUCUCUUUUGGAUUGAAAAAAUACAGAAUCUCAGCGAUACUGAACUCAUAGACGUCCAUAUGAGUACAUUCGGUAGAAAUCUACACAUAUGAAAAGCAUUAGAACCAAUCUUAGAUUAAAAAGACAAUGAAGUCUUACAUGAAGAAAAUGAUGAACAACCUUUUCUCUGGAAGCCUCACCAAUGUGAAAAACUGUACAUGGUGAUUUAAAAAAAAAGAGUGUCGGCUCGUGACCAAAUUGACCAUAACUUUUCCUUCGAACAUCCGAUUGACUCGAUUUUUGCAUCUACGUAAAGCUCGAGACCCAAAGAGUGUUUGAUCUUCAGGUCACAUAUACCACCUACAAAGAUUCAGGGAAACAAACUUCUAAAAAUCUCAAAGAAACACUUUUGAGAAAGGAAAUUAAUAGUGGUACUUACUCAGGGAGAUUACGAGAUGGCCACAGGCUCCUUUGUGGUUGAAAAAAAUUCCUCAGUUGGAGCAUUUUCUGGAGUAGUGAUGCCAAAUUUUGAUAUCAUGGCAACCAUCGACUCAUCAGAUAAUGAGCUCACUAACUCAUCGAAUUCCUCAGUUGGAGCAUCUUUAUUUCCUCAUAAUCUUAGUUCUAUAUUUAUGGAGCAAGUGCCUAGCUACAUACCAAGACUUUGUUUUCUUAUCACUUAUCAUCAUUACAAAUCCACUAGAUACAUUCCCAUAUACCCCACAAAAAUCCUCCGAGUUCAGCAGAUUCUCCUUGUAAUCCAAGAACGGCUAGCAAAAUUAAUUAGUCUGAAAAAUUAGCGUCACUUCUAUGGGUUCGGCAAAUUCUUCAUCAAGGAUCAAAGUUACGACAAUUUUCUCCUAUCAAAUGAUAAAAAUCAUCACUCCAACUUCUCCAUUAAAAAAGAAAGAAAAAAGAAGAAAAAGUACUUGGAAGAGGCAACGUAACUCUUUCCAGAAGUUUUUGUAAAUCCUUAGCUGGCCAUUCUGAAAUAUCUGCACAUUCAAGCCAGCCAUAGGAUCACUAUUUCAACAACCCAACAAUUUGCUACAUUGGAUGCCAAUUCGUUCGCAAGACGAUGCCUCAUCCCCAAGUGACGCUUCUCUAUGUUAAGGGAAGUUAAAAAUAAAAAUGCUCUCCCGAUGAAGUAGCCGAGACUCAUUGUUAACAUUUCCCUAAAAAUAAACAUUCAAAUGUGUCAAACUCAAAGUGAAAAAGAUAGUGGAGAAAAGUCAAGUCCAAAAAUAUUAUUCAAGCUAACCGAGGAAAUUGUUGAACCAAGCUGAAUAUUUAUAACAGUUUGGCCAGCUUGUGGUUCCCUUGGGAACAUAAGCAUUUCCAAAUAUGCAACUUUAGAAAAGUGUUCGUGGGAUUUCUCUUCUGGAUUGAAAAAAUACAGAAUCUCAGCGAUACUGAACUCAUAGACGUCCAUAUGAGUACAUUCGGUAGAAAUCUACACAUAUGAAAAGCAUUAGAACCAAUCUUAGAUUAAAAAGACAAUGAAGUCUUACAUUAAGAAAAUGAUGCACAACCUUUUCUCUGGAAGCCUCACCAAUGUGAAAAACUGUAAAUGGUGAUUUAAAAAAAAAGAGUGUUGGCUCGUGACCAAAUUGACCAUAACUUUUCCUUCGAACAUCCGAUUGACUCGAUUUUUGCAUCUACGUAAAGCUCGAGACCCAAAGAGUGUUUGAUCUUCAGGUCACAUAUACCACCUACAAAGAUUCAGGGAAACAAACUUCUAAAAAUCUCAAAGAAACACUUUUGAGAAAGGAAAUUAAUAGUGGUACUUACUCAGGGAGAUUACGAGAUGGCCACAGGCUCCUUUGUGGUUGAAAAAAAUUCCUCAGUUGGAGCAUUUUCUGGAGAUGCCAAAUUUUGCUAUCAUGACAACCAUCGCCUCAUCAGAUAAUGAGCUAACUAACUCAUCGAAUUCCUCAGUUGGAGCAUCUUUAUUCCUCAUAAUCUUAGUUCUAUAUUUGUGGAGCAAGUGCCUAGCUAUAUACCAAGACUUUGUUUUCUUAUCACUUAUCAUCAUUACAAAUCCACUGGAUACAUUCCCAUAUACCCCACAAAAAUCCUCCGAGUUCAGCAGAUUCUCCUUGUAAUCCAAGAACGGCUAGCAAAAUUAAUUAGUCUGAAAAAUUAGCGUCACUUCUAUGGGUUCAGCAAAUUCUUCAUCAAGGAUCAAAGUGACGACAAUUUUCUCCUAUCAAAUGAUAAAAAUCAUCACUCCAACUUCUCCAUUAAAAAAAAAGAAAAAAGAAGAAAAAGUACUUGGAAGAGGCAACGUAACUCUUUCCAGAAGUUUUUGUAAAUCAUUAGCUGGCCAUUCUGAAAUAUCUGCACAUUCAAGCCAGCCAUAGGAUCACUAUUUCAACAACCCAACAAUUUGCUACAUUGGAUGCCAAUUCGUUCGCAAGACGAUGCCUCAUCCCCAAGUGACGCUUCUCUAUGUUAAGGGAAGUUAAAAAUAAAUAUGCUCUCCCGAUGAAGUAGCCGAGACUCAUUGUUAACAAUUCCCUAAAAAUAAACAUUCAAAUGUGUCAAACUCAAAGUGAAAAAGAUAGGGGAGAAAAGUCAAGUCCAAAAAGAUUAUUCAAGCUAACCGAGGAAAUUGUUGAACCAAGCUGAAUAUUUAUAACAGUUUGGCCAGGUUGUGGUUCCCUUGGGAACAUAAGCAUUUCCAAAUAUGCAACUUUAGAAAAGUGUUCGUGGGAUUUCUCUUCUGGAUUGAAAAAAUACAGAAUCUCAGCGAUACUGAACUCAUAGACGUCCAUAUGAGUACAUUCGGUAGAAAUCUACACAUAUGAAAAGCAUUAGAACCAAUCUUAGAUUAAAAAGACAAUGAAGUCUUACAUUAAGAAAAUGAUGCACAACCUUUUCUCUGGAAGCCUCACCAAUGUGAAAAACUGUAAAUGGUGAUUUAAAAAGAAAGAGUGUUGGCUCGUGACCAAAUUGACCAUAACUUUUCCUUCGAACAUCCGAUUGACUCGAUUUUUGCAUCUACGUAAAGCUCGAGACCCAAAGAGUGUUUGAUCUUCAGGUCACAUAUACCACCUACAAAGAUUCAGGGAAACAAACUUCUAAAAAUCUCAAAGAAACACUUUUGAGAAAGGAAAUUAAUAGUGGUACUUACUCAGGGAGAUUACGAGAUGGCCACAGGCUCCUUUGUGGUUGAAAAAAAUUCCUCAGUUGGAGCAUUUUCUGGAGUAGUGAUGCCAAAUUUUGCUAUCAUGGCAACCAUCGCCUCAUCAGAUAAUGAGCUAACUGACUGAUCGAAUUCCUCAGUUGGAGCAUCUUUAUUCCUCAUAAUCUUAGUUCUAUAUUUGUGGAGCAAGUGCCUAGCUAUAUACCAAGACUUUGUUUUCUUAUCACUUAUCAUCAUUACAAAUCCACUGGAUACAUUCCCAUAUACCCCACAAAAAUCCUCCGAGUUCAGCAGAUUCUCCUUGUAAUCCAAGAACGGCUAGAACAACUAGCAAAAUUAAUUAGUCUAAAAAAUUACCGCCAGGUUCAGCAGAUUCUUCAUCAGGGAUCAAAGUGACGACAAUUUUCUCCUAUCAAAUGAUAAAAAUCAUCACACCAACUUCUCCUUUAAAAAAAGAAAGAAAAAAAGUACUUGGAAGAGGCAACGUAACUCUUUCCAGAAGUUUUUGUAAAUCAUUAGCUAACCAUCAUAAAAUAUCUGCACAUUUAAGCCAGCCAUAGGAACACUAUUUUAACAACCCAACAAUUUGUUACAUUGGAUGCCAAUUCGUUCGCAAGACGAUGCCUCAUCUGCAAGUGAUGCUUCUCUAUGUUAAGGGUAGUUAAAAAUAAAUAUGCUCUCCCGAUGAAGUAGCCGAGACUCAUUGUUAACAAUUCCCUAAAAAUAAACAUUGAAAUGUGUGAAACUCAAAGUGAAAAAGAUAGGGGAGAAAAGUCAAGUCCAAAAAGAUUAUUCAAGCUAACCGAGGAAAUUGUUGAAUCAAGCUAAAUAUUUAUAACAGUUUGGCCAGCUUGUCGUUCUCUUGGAAACAUAAGCAUUUCCAAAUAUGCAACUUUAGAAAAGUGUUCGUGGGAUUUCUCUUCUGGAUUGAAAAAAUACAGAAUCUCAGCGAUACUGAACUCAUAGACGUCCAUAUGAGUACAUUCGGUAGAAAUCUACACAUAUGAAAAGCAUUAGAACCAAUCUUAGAUUAAAAAGACAAUGAAGUCUUACAUUAAGAAAAUGAUGCACAACCUUUUCUCUGGAAGCCUCACCAAUGUGAAAAACUGUAAAUGGUGAUUUAAAAAGAAAGAGUGUUGGCUCGUGACCAAAUUGACCAUAACUUUUCCUUCGAACAUCCGAUUGACUCGAUUUUUGCAUCUACGUAAAGCUCGAGACCCAAAGAGUGUUUGAUCUUCAGGUCACAUAUACCACCUACAAAGAUUCAAGGAAACAAACUUCUACAAAUCUCAAAGAAACACUUUUGAGAAAGGAAAUUAAUAGUGGUACUUACUCAGGGAGAUUACGAGAUGGCCACAGGCUCCUUUGUGGUUGAAAAAAAUUCCUCAGUUGGAGCAUUUUCUGGAGAUGCCAAAUUUUGCUAUCAUGACAACCAUCGCCUCAUCAGAUAAUGAGCUACCUAACUCAUCGAAUUCCUCAGUUGGAGCAUCUUUAUUCCUCAUAAUCUUAGUUCUAUAUUUGUGGAGCAAGUGCCUAGCUAUAUACCAAGAAUUUGUUUUCUUAUCACUUAUCACCAUUACAAAUCCACUGGAUACAUUCCCAUAUACCCCACAAAAAUCCUCCGAGUUCAGCAGAUUCUCCUUGCAAUCCAAGAACGGCUAGCAAAAUUAAUUAGUCUGAAAAAUUAGCGUCACUUCUAUGGGUUCAGCAAAUUCUUCAUCAAGGAUCAAAGUGACGACAAUUUUCUCCUAUCAAAUGAUAAAAAUCAUCACUCCAACUUCUCCAUUAAAAAAGAAAGAAAAAAUAAGAAAAAGUACUUGGAAGAGGCAACGUAACUCUUUCCAGAAGUUUUUGUAAAUCAUUAGCUGGCCAUUCUGAAAUAUCUGCACAUUCAAGCCAGCCAUAGGAUCACUAUUUCAACAACCCAACAAUUUGCUACAUUGGAUGCCAAUUCGUUCGCAAGACGAUGCCUCAUCCGCAAGUGACGCUUCUCUAUGUUAAAGGGAAGUUAAAAAUAAAUAUGCUCUCCCGAUGAAGUAGCCGAGACACUCAUUGUUAACAAUUCCCUAAAAAUAAACAUUGAAAUGUGUGAAACUCAAAGUGAAAAAGAUAGGGGAGAAAAGACAAGUCCAAAAAGAUUAUUCAAGCUAACCGAGGAAAUUGUUGAACCAAGCUGAAUAUUUAUAGCAAUUUGGCUAGCUUGGCGUUCCCUUGGGAACAUAAGCAUUUCCAAAUAUGCAACUUUAGAAAAGGGUUCAGGGAUUUAUCUUCUGGAUUGUAAAAAUACAGAAUCUCAGCGAUACUGAACUCAUAGACGUCCAUAUGAGUACGUUCGGUAGAAAUCUACACAUAUGAAAAGCAUUAGAACCAAUCUUAGAUUAAAAAGACAAUGAAGUCUUACAUGAAGAAAAUGAUGCACAACCUUUUCUCUGGAAGCCUCACCAAUGUGAAAAACUGUACAUGGUGAUUUAAAAAAAAAGAGUGUUGGCUCGUGACCAAAUUGACCAUAACUUUUCCUUCGAACAUCCGAUUGACUCGAUUUUUGCAUCUACGUAAAGCUCGAGACCCAAAGAGUGUUUGAUCUUCAGGUCACAUAUACCACCUACAAAGAUUCAGGGAAACAAACUUCUAAAAAUCUCAAAGAAACACUUUUGAGAAAGGAAAUUAAUAGUGGUACUUACUCAGGGAGAUUACGAGAUGGCCACAGGCUCCUUUGUGGUUGAAAAAAAUUCCUCAGUUGGAGCAUUUUCUGGAGUAGUGAUGCCAAAUUUUGCUAUCAUGGCAACCAUCGCCUCAUCAGAUAAUGAGCUAACUGACUGAUCGAAUUCCUCAGUUGGAGCAUCUUUAUUCCUCAUAAUCUUAGUUCUAUAUUUGUGGAGCAAGUGCCUAGCUAUAUACCAAGACUUUGUUUUCUUAUCACUUAUCAUCAUUACAAAUCCACUGGAUACAUUCCCAUAUACCCCACAAAAAUCCUCCGAGUUCAGCAGAUUCUCCUUGUAAUCCAAGAACGGCUAGCAAAAUUAAUUAGUCUGAAAAAUUAGCGUCACUUCUGUGGGUUCAGCAAAUUCUUCAUCAAGGAUCAAAGUGACGACAAUUUUCUCCUAUCAAAUGAUAAAAAUCAUCACUCCAACUUCUCCAUUAAAAAAGAAAGAAAAAAUAAGAAAAAGUACUUGGAAGAGGCAACGUAAGUCUUUCAAGAAGUUUUUGUAAAUCAUUAGCUGGCCAUUCUGAAAUAUCUACACAUUCAAGCCAGCCAUAGGAUCACUAUUUCAACAACCCAACAAUUUGCUACAUUGGAUGCCAAUUCGUUCGCAAGACGAUGCCUCAUCCCCAAGUGACGCUUCUCUAUGUUAAGGGAAGUUAAAAAUAAAUAUGCUCUCCCGAUGAAGUAGCCGAGACUCAUUGUUAACAAUUCCCUAAAAAUAAACAUUGAAAUGUGUGAAAGUCAAAGUGAAAAAGAUAGGGGAGAAAAGUCAAGUCCAAAAAGAUUAUUCAAGCUAACCGAGGAAAUUGCUGAACCAAGCUGAAUAUUUAUAACAGUUUGGCCAGCUUGUCGUUCCCUUAGGAACAUAAGCAUUUCCAAAUAUGCAACUUUAGAAAAGUGUUCGUGGGAUUUCUCUUCUGGAUUGAAAAAAUACAGAAUCUCAGCGAUACUGAACUCAUAGACGUCCAUAUGAGUACAUUCGGUAGAAAUCUACACAUAUGAAAAGCAUUAGAACCAAUCUUAGAUUAAAAAGACAAUGAAAUCUUACAUGAAGAAAAUGAUGCACAACCUUUCUCUGGAAGACUCACCAAUGUGAAAAACUGUACAUGGUGAUUUAAAAAAAAAGAGUGUCGGCUCGUGACCAAAUUGACCAUAACUUUUCAUUCGAACAUCCGAUUGACUCGAUUUUCGCAUCUACAUAAAGCUCGAGACCCAAAGAGUGUUCGAUCUUCAGGUCACAUAUACCACCUACAAAGAUUCAGGGAAACAAACUUCUAAAAAUCUCAAAGAAACACUUUUGAGAAAGGAAAUUAAUAGUGGUACUUACUCAGGGAGAUUACGAGAUGGUCACAGGCUCCUUUGUGGUCGAAAAUAAUUCCGCAGUUGGAGCAUUUUCUGGAGUAGUGAUGCCAAAUUUUGCUAUCAUGGCAACCAUCGCCUCAUCAGAUAAUGAGCUAACUAACUCAUCGAAUUCCUUAGUUGGAGCAUCUUUAUUCCUCAUAAUCUUAAUUCUAUAUUUAUGGAGCAAGUGCCUAGCUAUAUACCAAGACUUUGUUUUCUUAUCACUUAUCAUCAUUACAAAUCCACCAGAUACAUUCCCAUAUACCCCACAAAAAUCCUUCGGGUUCAGCAGAUUCUCCUUGUACUCCAAGAACAGCUAGCAAAAUUAAUUAGUCUAAAAAAUUAGCGCCACUUCUUUGGGUUCACCAGAUUCUUCAUCAGGGGUCAAAGUGACGACAAUUUUCUCCUAUCAAAUGAUAAAAAUCAUCACUCCAACUUCUCUAUUAAAAAUAAGAAAAAAAAAGUACUUGGAAGAGGAAACGUAACUCUUUCCAAAAGUUUUUGUAAAUCAUUAGCUGACCAUUCUGAAAUAUCUGCACAUUCAAGCCAGCCAUAGGAACAUUAUUUCAACAACCCACAAUUUGUUACAUUGGAUGCCAAUUCGUUCGCAAGACGAUGCCUCAUCCGCAAGUGACGCUUCU